AAGAAAGAGGUUUACCUCAGCUUCAUCAUCUGUCAAGAUGUGGAUAGACUUAGUCCUCUUGGAAGAAGGCUCACUAGUAGAGUCAUUGGUCCUUUUUCGACUCUGAAAUAGAACAUUGAUUAGUAACAUUCGAAGCAAAAUGGUGAAAGACAAAACUUUUGGUUUAAAGUAAUUACCGUUGUUUCUUGUUUCACCUCUUUGAGCUUCGAAUUGGUUGGUUGGCUACUUCCACCAGCAUCAGCAAUAGCUUGAUCAACAGUUUUGAUCGAAGCUGUAGAUUUGCCUAAGAAUGUACAUAAAUUGAUGUUAGUAAAAUGUCAAAUAAAUGGCAAAAAUAAGUAAAGAUAAGUGUUAAAAGAAGUUACCUCGAGCUACUUUCGAGCGAAUCUCUUCAAUGACAGGUUGUUUGAAGCCACUCUCAAGCCUUGAAAUGAGUGCUAUGGUGUCCAUGAUAUGGCUAGAAUAGUAUCUGUCCCACCAAUCAGCAAACUCUUUGGUGCAGUAGAAAGAGUUCUGGAACUUGAAGGGGUUAAUGUGGUAGAGCACUGUAGCAAGCUCCAUGCACUUUUUAUAAAAAAUUUCAGGCACGUAACGGCUAACACCAUCGCUGCCGUUGGCGAUUUCCUUCCACUUCCCAGCUGAAGGAACUUCAACAGUUUCUAUAGAACUGUAAGUCAUUCUGAUGUUCUUGAAAGGUGUGAUAGAAUCUUUAGAUAUUCGGAUUAAUGUUGUUUUGAGGUUUCUAGGUAUCAAUUGACUCAAGAUUCGUUCGUAAUUGAAAGAAUCGAAGACAAAGAAAGUAUUUUUCUGAGUUUGGGAGAGUUAAUUGUGGAGAUUUGGAAGAGAAUUAGAGAGUUUCGGAGAAGAAGAUGAACAGAGUGAAAAGAGUGGAAUAGAUGAGCUGAUUGCUAUUUAUAGUGUUGGUCAAAAAUCCGAAUUAAAUAAUUAGAAAAAAAAUAGAAAAUUUUUCUUUCAACUUCCUAUGGGAACGCGUGUCACAUUUACUCCUAUAAAAUUGCAGUCAUGAUGAUUGUGGGGUUUGAAAUGGCAGUUGAAAAGAGCAUUGAUUGACUGCUGACAUCAGCGCCGUCUUUGGGAAGUGUGAAAGUUUAAUUCGGAAUCUUUCAAAAACGCCAUAUUCUUCAUUCAAUAAUUCAUCCGAAAAUGGCAUUUUUGGGGGGGCAAUUUGUUAUCUCGAAUUUUUGACCAUAUGAAUUUAAUGCUAAUUUUGUGCAUCAUUUUAAAUACGCGACUAAAUUAAAUGAAUGGAAAUAAUAAAUGGAAUGUAUCCAUGACGGUCCAAAAUGAACGCAUUAAAUAAGUUAAUAAAAGAUAGGAAAAGGUGAUUAAAUUACCUAAUUAAGUUUAUUUAAAGUCUUAAUUUCAUAAAAUGUUUUAUUAACAAAAAGGCAAAAUUGCCUUCGAAUCGAAUGAGGAUUUUCGAAUCUUAGUAUUCGAAGGUGUUAUGGACUUAGAAUUAUUUUCAUUAUUUUUAGCAGGAUAUAGCAAGGGGUUCGAAGGCUAGAUUCGAGUGACAGUUGAAGCUAAGGAAGCAGUUAUUCUUUUCAAGCGUGAUCAAGAGAUCGUGGGUUCGUGCGUUCAGAGAGCUGACGAAGCACGUUUGCACAUGCAGUUGUUCAUUCUUGAGCCUAUAAAUAGUAGUUCCUUUAGUUGGAAUAAGGGUCACAAUUCAUAUACAAAAUUCACAAACCUAAAGUAUUAAUGCGUUCAAGAGAAAAUGGUGAAGUGAAGAAAAUGUAUGAAUUCGUGAACCAUUUCUUUUCUUUGUAAAACUUUUACAUUUUUUAUGCAAUUUUAAUCCUUCUUUUGCAAUUUAUCUUUUCAAAUUCUCUCAUUCGAGUGAAUCUUGUUUAAUUUACAUUGUUUUUUGUAAAUUGUUCUUUCAAACUGGUUUACCAAAUGUUUAUUUCAAUGAUGAACAUUAAAAUCUAUACACAAAACAUGUCCUAGGAUUUACUAGUUGGUUCUGCAAGUAAUUAAACUAAACUAGCGGUUGUUUACGAAAAAACAGCGUAAACAGCAUGAGAAAUUCACUCUAGAUAAAAAGAAUAAGAAUAUGUUAACAUAGAAACAAAUAAUUUACUUAUGUUUUGUGUACAAUGGAGUCAAUGACAUUUGAAUCUAAGACUUCAUACAUACCAUAUGGACUCUUCACCAAUAGACCUAAUGGCUUCAAAUAUAAUCUACAUUGUCAAAACUAAUAAAAAAUAAAAAAUAAUGUUCCGGAAAUAAUGUUAUCAUUACAACGAGAAAUAUUUGGAUACAAUAAGAUGCCCCUGUUGUAACCAAAAAAAAAAAAAGAUGCUCCUGUUGAGAAAAGCAAUCUUCUUUUACCAUUGAUGUAGUUAAUCCUUCCAUUCCAUAUUUCCAUUCAUUUGUUCCGGAAAACUGUUACGAUUACAAUGUUAUAUAUAGACACAAUACCAUCCUCUUGUUGAGAAAAGAAAUCUCUUUUUACCAUUGAUAUAGCUAAUACAUCCUCUAUACAUUGCUUUAUCAAAUAAAUUAUCUGGACUGAACUUGAUCUAUUCUCCAGAUUACAUUUGUUCACCUCCAGAGGCCUGUUCAUUCCACUUGCUAAUCUAGAAUGGUAAAAUUUUGCCUGGUAGGAUCAUUAACCACUCUCAUUAUAUGACUUCACAUUUAUAUGUUGUUCUUCAACUCCUCAAACUUUUGCAUGAUUGCAUACUGUUGUUUAUCUUUGUAUACUUCUAUCAAUGAUUGUAUUGCGCUGGAUAUCAUUGCUUUCUUUCGGUCUGCAACAGAUUUAUCUGGAACAUCAAUCAUCCUCCCAACAGAUGAGCAUAGACCAUUGAGCCAAUCUUCGAGAAAGGAUGCUUUCUUUUACAUAAAUAAAAAAGAACAAAAAUUAAGCCAAGGGAAAAUUCGAACAAAGGCUAUUUGAACAACAGAAAAUCCAAUGUUCUUCAUACAAUUGGGAUAAUCAAGAGACAAACAGAAAUUACAAAUGCAUGAUAGCAUAAUGUUACUACCAAAGUAGCCAGCAAAGAUAAGUCACCAAAAAAUCAGGCUUUUUCCCUUGAACAACACAUAUAAGAUGAGAUCUCAACUUAGUGGUACGAGUUUGACAUUGUAGUAAUCCAAAAAAAAUGUUUAACAUUGUAACCUCAAGGGACAGUUUAAAUUCCCUCACAGAUAGUUGUAAAAUUGCCAUUAGAGUCACUUUAUUAUACUACCUCUGUCCCUAAUUAUAAGACCCCAUUGAGAAAUUACGGAGAUUAAAAAAGUGGGCGGUGGUAUUAAAUUUGUUGAUUGGUAUUGUUUUUAACAAUUUUAUCCUUCAAGAAAGAGAAUGGGUUAUUAUUUUUCUAAAGUAUUUAUUACAAAUUGAAGAAAAAUAUGUACUUUAAUUAGGGGUAUGUUGGUAAAGAAAUAAUUAAUACUCUUGAAAAUAUGAAAGGGAUCUUAUAAAAGGGACAAAGAAAAAUGUAAAGAGGGUCUUAUAAUUAGGGACGGAGGGUAGUAUAACAUUUUCCCCUUCUCUAAAGAUGACACUAGUUCUUUAUCUAGUUAUUAAAACUGUAGAGAACAUGCAUAGCCUAUAGUACAUAUAUCAAAUAAAAACGCAUUGUUCUAUAACAAAUAAACAGAACUACUAUAUCUACAACAUGACAUUCCACAAAAUUUGUCACAAAGUUAGCGUUUAGAAACCUCUAAAGUGACUUAAUUUAUUCAAUCAAAUUUGUCACGAAGGUAGCUUCCAUAAUCGAUAUCCACAUAGAAAACAAAAAUUAUUAUCAGUGAUGUGGUCUCCAUGAUCUGAGUAUAACUUAACAUAUCAUCACUUCACUGUUUGAAGACAAUAAUCACUGAUAAAAAAAAUACUAUUCCAGAGUUUUGCAUGUUGCUUCAAAAUAAAAUAGUUACCUUCACUAGGAAAUCUUUUAACAAUUGAUCAUUUGUACUUGAUGUAUAGCGUAGAACAUGUAACAUUGUCAAGGUAAGCUGCAAUGAAAAAUGAGCAAUUCAAUUAAGUAACAACGAAAGAAAAAAGAAAUCAACAGAACAAUAUCAUAACUCCAUAAUUAAAAACCAUAAAUAAAAUAAGAUUUCUGUGCACGUUCACUCAAAUUCAGUACCAUCGAGUUUUCAAAUCAAGAUAUAUGUCCAACAUAGUAAGAUUUCUUUUCCAAAUUAUAGUAGUUUAAUAGAAAUGAUACACAGAGUUGCACAACACAAUACAUAGCUAAUAUACAAUGAUUACAAAAGAAGAAAAUGUGGGACUGUUACAUUGAAUUUAAAUCACAGCCAUCCAAAAUUUCAAGUCUAUAUAUAUCAUUUGACCACUCCAAAAUGAUAAACUUAACAUGGCAUUGAUGAAUAUAACGUAUGACCUGUUUUUGUAAUGAAACCCUAUACUUGAAAUUCGAAGGCCCAGAAAUUGGGUCCUGAUCUAUAUUCUCCAUUAUAUGCUCUAUGGAUCGCACAAUGUCGGGGAAGGAUCGUCCAUAAUCUGCUAAAACAUGGGAGAACAAGUUAUAUUCAAUUAACAGCUUGGGAUUUAAAGUUCGUUGAAUGAACUAAAAAUAAUCAGAACCCAGAACCAAAUAUAAUUUAAGGAAAAGCAGGUAACGAAGUAUAUUAUAUUGCACUGCAGUCCAUUUAAUAUGCAUAAUAUGACAAGGCCUGAUAAUAUAAGAAAUGGUGCAAGGCAUGAUAAAAUUUUGAUGAUACGCAGUAUUUGGUAUGACAUUGUUUAUAUCAUGAGAGAAUACCAUCUUGUUUCGGUGAUGCACUAUAUAACACUAGUUAGAAGAUAGGAUAAAAUGUCACUUUUGUAUUUUGGUACAAAGAUAAAAUGUCACUUUUAUCUUAUAAAGAGAAAAAAAUUAUAUUAAAAAUAUACCAUAUUAAUUUUUUAGUUGACAAAUACUCACACUUCUUAAGUGAAAGCUGAAAAAAGAUAAAAAAAAAAUUACUAAUGCAAAUUAAUGGUAAGAAAAUAUUACCUUGAACUGACAAAGGCACAGCCAAUGCUGCAGCAGCUUGUAUCCUGAUCUUAAAAUUUGACGAAUUAUGCAGUAGCUGCAGAAGAAUGCCAAACACGACCGGAGCCCUGCAAACAUUGUUCCAUUACCAUAGUUUAUUUUAAUGUUGUAGGAUUUUUAUCUUUUACGUAAAGAGGGAUGAAAAACAAAACUCUGAAUCAUAAAAUUAUAUAGGUAUGAUAUGAAUGAUAUAUUGUAUGUUGUUUCAGAAGACAAAACGCUAAUAUUUAUCAUUAUUAAUACUAAUACUAAACUCUUAGUUUUAUUAAACAAGGAAACAAAUUAUAUGCAACAUUUAUAUGGAAAGAAAUUCUAAGAGACAAUCUAAUAUACUCUUAACAUACUAAUGAUGUGGUGACAUUUUCUCAUAUACUCUAGAACUCCCUUUCAAGCUAAAGCUCAAUAAGAUUUUGAUACAUUUAAAACCUUAGAAAAUUACCAAACAAUAUAAUUGUGCUUGAUUACAUAAAGAUAUAGUAUGAUAUGAAGAACCCAUGAAGUUAUUUUGUGCUUGAUUACAUAAAGAUAUAGUAUCGGUUCUUAGUAUUGCUCAUAACCUUGUUCAGCAUGACUGGACAAAACACAUUGAGAUAAAUUGGCACUUAAUUAAAGAAAAACUGAAUAGCGGAUAAAUAACAACUGCCCAUAUUCCUUCUAGGCACCAAUUGGCAGAUGUGUUAACAAAAUCCAUUCACUAGCUUGAGUUGGAUUGUUGUAUGUAAUUAUUUGAUUUUUUGUAUUGUUCCCAUUAAUCGGAGCUUGUCUAUAUAUUGUGUAUAAUGUUUGUACACUUUAAUCAAUUAAUAAUAUUCAUAAUAUUUUUCUCCAUUAGAGAAGCUGGAUACAUGAAUAUGUGCUGUGGCUACUGCUAAUUGUGAACUUUUCUAAAUAAAAUAAAACAACCUCAAUAGUUCAGAGGGAAAUCGAAAAAUUUGUGAAUAAUUGAUUUCUAUAUUCAGAUUUGCUGAACUAAGAUUAGUAUUUAUAGUACGUAGAAUAAAAGACAGUUCAGUAACUGGUUGUAACAGAAUUGCACAGCUGGCAGAACUAAUUGCCGAGCUAUCAUAACAGGUAUUAACUAAUAUAACCAUGCUUAAUGUUCUGCCUACUAGAAUACAAACAGAAACAGGUUAUAAGUACUCUAUCACAAGGAAUCAAUGGAGGUGAAAAGGGCAGAAGUAGGCAUAAUAUAAGUGCUCUCACGGGGAGACUUAGUAAUGAGGCAAAAAAAUGAGGAUGUUAAAGGGAAUGAUAAUAACAAGAGAAGUAUGAUUGCCACAGGAGGCGUAAAAUGCUCUCAUGUGUUGGUGCAUGGAGAAAAGAGAGGACAAGCAAGUUGCAUAUGGGGGUGCAUGCAGAGUUGGGUUUUGUACACUGUAGAGUUCUCUGAGGAUAGGUCAGUAGGUGGUUUCCAGGGCCAAUCCAAGACUUCCUACAGCUUAAUCUAACUGCAAAAGUUUGCUGCUGACGGUGGAGGACACAGCUAGAAAAGUUCCCAAACAGUGGACAAUGCUGAAAACGGAAGCCACUGAUGGAGGCACAAUUGUGAGCACAUGGGGAAAAAAAUAAUCUUCCUUUAGAUUACAGAUAUCAUGGUGAAAAGACAGACUGUAAGGUACUGGAUUUGUGUCACACACAACUAAAUUGAUUCAUAUAUAUGUAACCGAUAAAUUAGAUUCUAGGGUCGAAACCGAUAGAGUCAAGUCUCAAAGUAGGAAUUCCAAUGGUUUGAAUAGAAUUCGAUACAAAUGAGAAAUAUGUAAAGAUAAAUUGGAGUUGUUUUUGAGAGAAGAAAUAAUUGUUCAUUCAUUGAUUGAUUUUCAAAGUGAGGCACAAUGCCUUUAAAUACAACCCUAAAGGAUAAAAAAGUAAAAUGACAUAAAAUAAACUAUUAUUUAAAAUAAACUAUUAAUUGAUACUUAAUUCCUGUCACAAUACCCUCCCCGUCAAACAUCCUUGUCCUCAAGGAUUAACAAUCACAAUUCACAAGUGCCAUGUUUAAGAGGCAAAGCUUUCCAUUUGCUUAGAACUUUAGCAUCUCGAACAUUUCCCCUAUUUUGAUCAUCUUCCUGUGCCAAAUAGUCAUAAUUCCAAUGCAUUGAAGGAGUAGCUUAGCUUCGACAGGGAAAGAGCUGAAAAUAGCAUAAGGAGGUGUUGUGCCUAGCUUUAAGGCCAGAGGACUAUAAGAAACAAACACCAUUCUUUUUUUCAUUAGCCAAGCUAGGAUCUGUUGGGUAGCAAUUGCAGCAGCAAAUAUUAAGAAGAAAGCAUUGCUGGAAGCUUGUUACCAGGUUAAUCAUGUGUAAGCUCCAUAUGUGGUUUACCAAUAAACCAAAUGCACAUGUAACAAACUCUCUAAGCACUUUGUGCACCAAAGCAAACAAGACAUGCUUAAAUUCUAUUGCAACAUGAUUAGAAAACUCAAUUUUGUAUCUCAAUAGAUUUCCAUAUAAAACUAAGGAAACACAACUCACUAGAGUUCCUGCAAGCUCAAAGAUGAUGGCACCAUGAGUUUCAUUACUGUCUCCCAAAACCAAUUUGUGCCUAGCAGCAAAGACAAGGUUGAAAGUAUAUAGUCUCUUGGCAAAAUCUUGGCUAGUCAAACUGUUAAGAAGAACCACAUCGGUUGCGAGAUGGCCUGAAUAAGUGUUUAUAUACUAGAGGCAAUCCUCACCUUACAAGCCGGUUUUGUAAGAAUGAGUUAGGCCCAAUACUCAUUUCUAAGACAAACAUUCACUAUCAACUACAAGAAAAUGUUGAAGAUUUCCCCUGCCAUUCCUCAAACUGAGUGUUGCAUAAUUAUAGUCAUUAUACUCUCCAAGAGUUUUUAACCAAUAUUCUUUGAAGAUAUUUCCAACUACAGUACCGCUCAAAUUGCAGAACUAACAGUGGUAAAACUCUCUUAGAACAAGGUUAUUUGUAUCAUUAACAUCAAAUUUCACUAGUUCAUAUGGUGUUCCCUCUAUCUUGGCUACUAUAAAUGUUGCAAGGUUGCUGAUGUCAAAAGCAAACACUUUUGAAUUGUUCAUACUAAUGUCAAAAUGAGCUGAAACUUGCCUUCCAACAUCUUCCUUGUACAUUCCCACAUAUACAAACAUAUCCUUGGAAAUUUUAACUACUGCAAGAGAUAUUUGGAAGAAUUUUUCAGGACCUAUUGAAGUAAGAAGCAGCAGCAACUGUUUUGCAGCUACAAUUUUAAUGACCAGCAGAGUUCCCUUAUUUAGAAUCUUGCUAUAAAGAACAAUGAAAGUUAUAAUCAAAUUCAUGUUAAACUCUUGACUAUACCUUGUCACUAUGUCUGAACAAGAACCCAUGCCUAGACAUGUUACUUCCAAUUCUUUGGACAAGUCAAAUUCAACAGCUUGCUCAUUAUCCAUAUACAUGUUAAUGACGCCACUCAAAAUAGGUACAUGGCCCUUUGAAAUUUGAUCAAACAGUUGGAGGGGAUAAUCAUGGUCUUCAAGCUGAUCAUGGUAAGCACAAUAUAUAAACAAAUUUGUACAAUUCUUUAUAUAAAUCCACAUUCCUUUUAAAAGCCAUUUAUCCAUUUCAUCAUAAUACAUCCAAAGACAAUUGUAAUCACAACCUUUAAUAAGAAAAUGGUAGUGAAAAACCUGGAAUAACACUUUCUUCCUCUGAAAAUACUGAUAUGGUGGUUUUGGCGGUGAUGUCAGAGUCGUAUUGCUGUACUUUGUGAACUGAAUUCUUGCUAGAAGCAUUUCUUUAUCAAACAAAUAUGUUUCCCAUGAUGAAUCUAGAAGUAAUGUUCUCGUUGUAACACUGGAAUUGUUGUUCAUUGGUGUAUUGAGAAGCAAUCCAUCAGACAUGGUACGUUUCAUCUUUUCCCAAUCCAAUAUUGGGUCUGCAAUUCUCAACUCAUUUGCCCAAAACCAUGAUAGCUUCAUCCUACAUGUUGGUGCGAGUCUUGCCUGUAACUGCAAUGGAUUCUCACAUGUCGUCGGAUCUCGGUGGUUGGUCUUUGGUGGUUCCGACAGUGGAAUAAUAGUUCGCCGAUGAGAAGACCCAGAGUCCAUCAAUGUUGAUGAUCGUUUCUUCUCUGGUGGUGGUGGACUCGUAGAAAAUAACAAUGGAGAUGGUUGAAAUUGUACCUCACUCAAGCUAUGCAAAUCAGAAGGCGGUGAUUGAUUUUGCGACGAUGUGGUCGAUUCGGUUGGGAACACACAUGGAGGGGUUGAAAUACCACUUUGCGGUUGAACCCUAAGCCGCACAGAGGAUGCCUCCAUAGAUGAUUGUGGUUAAUUAAACUGUAAUUGAUCACCGUCCUCUUUGCUUCCUCGUGGUUCGACAUCGACUUCAUCUUUAUCCAUCAUAACAAUCCGAAUAUUUUUAUGUAACUGUAGAUGUUCCAAAGUAAGAGGUUUAUCACAUAAGAAACAUAAACUCAUUUCCAUUUUCUCUUCCACUUCCAUAGUACUCAAUUUUUACUAGUUUGUGUUUAGCAGCCAUCAUGAGCGGUGAAUCGAAGGCUCUCAAUACCAAUUGUAACCGAUAAAUUAGAUUCUAGGGACGAAACCGAUAGAGUCAAGUCUCAAAAUAGGAAUUCCAAUGGUUUGAAUAGAAUUAGAUACAAACGAGAAAUAUGUAAAGAUAAAUUGGAGUUGUUUUUGAGAGAAGAAAUAAUUGUUCAUUCAUUGAUUGAUACUUAAUUCCUGUCACAACCCUAUAAAAGAAAGGGGAAGAAUGAACCGUCGGGACGCCGGUUGUUCAGCGGNNNNNNNNNNNNNNNNNNNNNNNNNNNNNNNNNNNNNNNNNNNNNNNNNNNNNNNNNNNGGAGUCCCACAUCGGAAGUAAUGAACCCGGUGUGAGGGUUUAUAUAGGAUUGGACAAUCCUCCCCUUUGAACCAUGGUUUUGAGGUGGAGUUAGGUUCAAUCCGUAUCAAUUGGUAUCAGAGCAAGUUCGAUCGAUUCUUGGGCACCAGGACCGAACGGGAAGAAUGAACCCUAUAAAAGAAAGGGGAAGAAUGAACCGUCGGGACGCCGGUUGUUCAGCGGGCGGAUUUGUUACCGAUUUCCAUGUGCAAGUUGGGCUUCAUGAACCCAACUUGGAGUCCCACAUCGGAAGUAAUGAACCCGGUGUGAGGGUUUAUAUAGGAUUGGACAAUCCUCCACUUUGAACCAUGGUUUUGAGGUGGAGUUAGGUUCAAUCCGUAUCAAUAUAUGAUUGGUACAUGAGCGCAGUUAUUAUUCUAACACCUACAGAAUACUUCAUUGAUGCUACAAAUUAAAAUAUCUAAUAUCUAGAAGAAGAAUGAAGAUAUGUAAUGUCUGAGAAGCAUAAGAUGCAUGUGCUUAAUUCUAACAUACCAAUCCAUGUCCUGCAGCCUUAAUGUCUCAUUCAAGAAUAGAUUUCCUAGAGCAUGACAAACAUUCCACUGGACCUGUAAAACAGAGAAUCAAGAUUCAAGAGAGAAAUUUUCAACAAGAUUUAGAAAACAAAUUUAUUUUAAAAAUCAAAUUAAAAUAACAUAAUCUUGGUACCUUAACAUUCCCUGUAGUAAUGCAGGAAAUAAAUGCCUGAACUAUUUUUUCCAGCCUAUGAAAAUCUUCAAGGGAAUCCAAUAGGCAACGCCGUUGACACGUCAAAGGAUUCUCGCUAGUGAGAGGGGCCUCAGUCCUCUGGUUAAGGUUUUGCACAGACACUUCUUGAGAUCUUGACAUUGAACAAUUGAAGAUUUGUGAAAUAUACCCAAGAGCCCUCACAGCAUUAGAUUUAACCUAGUAAUGAGAAACGAGAAUUAAUAAAACAAGAAUCAAAAGAGAACUAUGUUAAAAGGAGUUAAAUACUCAGUACAAGAUUUACCUAAUAAACCCAUGCAAACAAAAUAACUCAUUAACAAAAGGUACCAAUAGAGGAAACUAGCAAAAGGAAUAAAAUUAUAACCGUACCUUAUCCCCAUCCUCUGUAAGACGCAAAGCACACUCGCUCAAUGAUACAAUAAACUGGGGGUUGGAGUUUGAAUCUGCAAAAAAUAAUCAUGAUAGAAGAAAAUUAAAAACGAAAAAAUAUGAAAUGUAGUUUUGACACCAAAUGGUUGAUUAUUCAAUCAUAGACAUCAAAUUCAACUCACCCAUCUGUCCAAAGUGAAGAAUUCUAACACAGUGACGAAUAGCAUCACAUAUAUUUGCCAAUGCCCAUGAAGCCGUUAUCCUCACCUGAUGUAACAAAAUCUCUAAAUUCCAGCACACAGAGCAUUAAAGUAUGUAACAAUGUAUGGAGUUAACAAAUUUAAGCAGAUCUUACUGAGAUUAGGGCAUCUCGAGUGUUUAUCUCAACAGCAUGAAUAAACUUGUCAAGUACCUCUGCACUAAAGAUAUGAUUGAACUUUUAAGUUUUACUCUCAUUCAUCUGAUACAAAAGGUUCAAAAAGAUUUCAUAAUAUUAAAUACUGGUGCUACUAAAAGUUUCAGUGUAACCUCUGACACACUUGUGGAAAACAUGAAAUGACACCAAUGGCUCGACAGGAAGCAGACCUCACUGAUGAUGCAUUAUCAUGUACAGCAGCAUGGACCUACAAAACAUUUGCAAGAAAUUAUGUUAGUAAAUUCAAUAUAAUACAUGGCAUUGGGCAGGUUAUGUAUCAUACUUACUAAAGAAGACAAAAUGAAGUCCUGCUUCUCCUUUGGGAAAGAGAUGAACACAGAAGAAGUCAUACCCGCAAAACACGUAACAGACGCAGCCCUCACCUUCCAGAAAAAAUAGAAAGAGGCACACAUUAAUUAAAAGCAAACUAGUUAUGCAUUCAGAUUCAGUAAUAUUAUAAUUUUCUUCAAUACAUUAACAAAAGAACAAAUCGAAAAAAAGGAAAUAAGAGAUUCAGUAAUAUCAACACUAGUGUUAUAGUGUAGUCAUGUUGUCUGUAUAUGUAUUGUGUAUGUUUUAUCAGACUAUGGUGUUAUAGUGCAGUCAUGUUGUCUGUAGCAUAGUAUGUAUUGUGUAUGUUUUAUCAAAACUAGUUCGGUUGUUUUAAGUUAGAAGUUUGUUAGCAACAGCUCAGCUAACAGAUUGUGUUAUGAUAGAAUCUGGUAGAUGUUGUUAGUUCUUGAUGAGGCCCUAAAAGGAGCUAAUUAGGAAGAAAACAAGGAAAAUUUUCAGUCAAAACUUUAGAAUGAUUUUUAUUUGUGUUUAAUUAUGAAUUUUAAUAAUUUUAUUUUAAUUAAGUGGUGUAAACCCAAUAUGAGCGUAGAUAUGAUCGAUUUAGCAUAGCAGGAUGAAUCUUUCUUUAAAAACUCUUGUAAGAAUCUCAUUUUCUAAUUUGAGAUGAAUUAAAAUUCUCUCUAACGAGAAUGGUGAAUGAUAUUUUCUCAUCUUUGAAUUCUUGGAUUAGAAAUUGCAAGAUUCAAGCAAUUUUCAUUAUUAGUCACUUUCAUUCCUUAAUGACUUACUUGCAGAGAAAGUAAAGAUGACUCAGCCUCAAGGGUUUGAAAUCUUCUAAUCGCUCACCAGUUUGUACCUCCAUAAAGCAUCGUCUGAUUGCCUCUCCUCCACACUUGAUGAUUUUGGGUGCCAAUGCAAAUGUAAUACCCCUUUGUAUUUCAGAAUGAACACGACACACAGGGUCAUUCUUGUGUAGGUGGAUGAUAUGGUCAUUAUUGGAUUCUCAACUAACUUGAUUGUUCAGCUAAUUAAUUGUCAAUCUUAAUGCUUUAUUUGCUCUCGAACACAUUGAACAAUUCAAUUAUUUCUCUGGAAUUAAGGUAAAACACUUAUCCAAAUGGCCCACAAUUCCUAUCUCAAUCAAAUUAGAUCACUGUAAUAAAUAUGUUAUCGUGUCUGUAGCCUAUAAGUAUUAGGUGUGCAUUUUGUAAUUACUAGUAAUAAUCGCAUUCAGUCGAUUAAUCUAGCCAGUUAGGUCUACGGUAGUCUAUAUAAGCAGAUUAGUAUCUUGUACUCCAUUCACAAUUGAAAUAUAAUUCAGAAAUAAUUUUCAACUUGGAAUCAGAGCUCCUGUUCUUUGGGCAUGUCAGUUAAGUGAUUAGACAUCAAUAAUAUGCUCUUCUUGCCGCAUGAUUAGUCACAACUUUAGCUGCUGACCACAGACCCUUUUAAAAUGGACUUGAAACCAAAGACUCGUGAUUAGAGCUACCAUCUGACAACACAGAACCUAUGGCCGAUUCUGAAUGUUGUGUGGGAUACCCCAGACCAGAACCGAAUUAGAAAAAUAAACAACCUUUAUGCAACAUAAACAGAUACUUCAUAAGGCAAGACCAGGACAAAACCAGACAGACAUAAUAGAAAAACUCACUCACACCAGAACCCCCAAAUAACACCAACAUCAUGAUCCAGCAGCUACUCCACCCACAGCAUGAAGGACAAUAAAACAAAGGGAAGAGAAACAGUGAGCCGAGGUUUUGACCAAACCAAGGAUUAACAUUCAGAAGCUAUAAUGUUAAAAGGCAAGAUAGAACCAAUUUUUUAACGCCAUGACUUAAUUAAGUAGGGAUCUCCAUCCAUAUGCGCGUGUGAAAGUUCAUUCUUGUUGAAUACAGACUACAAGACCUUCAAGUUCCAACAUCUACUAACAUGGUGCAUGAAUUUAUUUUGUUGCCAGACAUGCAAAGUCAUCCAAGUUAGCAAAGUCAUCCAAAAAAUAAAUAGUUGUAAAAUAUCUUAAAUAGGCUAGAUGUGCAAGUUAGGAAAUGAUUCAAUUAUUAAGACUAAAAGAUAACAAUAUAAAACUAAAGAAAUGAAAAUUUGUACCAUUGCAUAAGAGUGACCUAAGAUAAGAGGCAUAUGCUUCUCCAUUGCCUCGCACCAUUGCUUAAUUCCAGAUUCACAUUCUUCAGAGUUAACUACAUCAUGAUCUUUGCACUCUAGUUCGUAAGAUGGAGCAGAUGAAACUUUCUUCAUCCUAAUGCAAUCGGAUGUAAAAGGAACAUCCACCAUUUUAUCAUCUGAAAGAUCCUCCGUUCCUUGAAAUCCAGACACAGCCCGAAGACACUCGUCUAGAACCUUAAAAAUUCACAUAAUUUUAUCACAACCCAAAAAAAUGGAAAUACCAUAACACUGAAAUGACAUCACAUAUAUAAAUGAAUGAUGUGUGAAUAUAUAAAAACAACAGAAAAAAAGUCCAAAGAAAGAAAAAUACACAGACAAAUAAUCAUGCUGCAAGAACAGCAUAAUUGUCAAGUCAAUCCUCAAAUACUUUUUUCAGUCUCAUCGAGAUCAUUCAAACAUUAUAUUUUAGUAAUAUCACUAUCACCUAUAUCAUAUAUGUGCUAGUUAUUAUACUAGAAUUUUUGCUUCACUAUUGGUGGCCUAGUUAUUAUACCAGAACCCCUUGCUUUUACUACUGUUUCUGACCUUACCAUAAAUUUAGAUAUUAAUGUCAUUGUAUUUGUCACUAUCACUAAAGAUUUGAGAAUAACAAUAACUCUUAAUGCAAUAAGCCCUGGUAUAUAACACUCUUAGAUAGGAAUACAAAGACACUAAUCAAUUUCCAUAUAUUCAAUUUCUGCACUCUAUCCGAUGUGUGGAUAUAAAUGGUACCGAUUGUGGAAACCUGAUAAAAGGUGGCAAAACAGAUGUUGGAGUAAGAUCUGAUACCAAUUAAUCUUUAUGGUACAACACAAAUCGAUGUCCGUGGUUGUCUUGGGGAAACUAACAUCAUUAACUACGGGUAUAAUGUUAACUUUAUGACCGAUAUCAGGACCAACAUCUGAUAAUCUCACCAACAUGUUGUCAUCGUUUUCCUCGCCCUCUCUUUCCCUUAGGGUUAGGUUUUCAAUUUUACAUCACCUCAUCGGAGUAAAUUAAGGGUCACACACUAUUUUAGUGUCAAAUAAGACAAAUAUUCUACACAUCCAUUAGUUUUGGAUGCAUAGUAUGACUUAAUACAAACACCGACUCAUUGCGGAUUUAGUUACUCCAAGUAAUCUGUUCAACUUCCUAUUCAAAUUUGUAAUGCUUGAAUAACCAUCAAGAAUAGUUUCGCCAUCUUUAUCAUAUACAAAAGCAUGGAUCCUAGCUGUUGGAUCUUCUUGGGUCAGUUUCAUCGUAUACUUCCCAAUAGGAUAGCAAAAAAUUUCACCUUUUCAGUUUUUGGGUUUUACUGGCAAUGAUGAUAAAAAUGCCGGUCUUACGGCUGCCAUUUUUUGCUAGUAGUUGAUCAUUGAUUUCAUCAAAGUGUCUUCUUCUAAGCCAGGAAACACCUUCAUAACAUUUUUUUAUUCCAUGGGUUUAGGGUUUACAUCAAUGUUUAUAGUGCUUUUCAAUCAAUACUUUCUGCAGAUUUGUGUUGUACCAUAAGAGUGAUUGAUUCUAGGGUGACUGUCAUCGUAUACUUUCCAACAUGAGAGCAUAUGCAUUUAGCUUGGUAUGAUUACACUGCUACCAGUGAACGACCCAGUGUAAUGUAUCUGUCAACUUACCNNNNNNNNNNNNNNNNNNNNNNNNNNNNNNNNNNNNNNNNAUAUGCAUUUAGCUUGGUAUGAUUACACUGCUACCACUGAACGACCCAGUGUAAUGUAUCUGUCAACUUACCUUUGAAUAAUUGAGUACAUUCAAAUGUGACAGAUAUAUUCAAGUGUGUCGUUUGGCGAUAGCACUGUAAUCAUACCAAGCUAAAAGCAUAUGCUCUCAUGUUGGAAAGUAUACGAUGAGAGUCACCUUAGAAUCGAUCACUCUUAUGGUACAGCACAAAUCUGCACAAAGUAUAGAUUGAAAAGCACUAUAAACAUUAAUGUAAACCCUAAACGCAUGGAAUAAAAAAAUAAAAUGUUACGAAGGUGUUUAUCGGCUUAGAAGAAGACACUUUCACGAAAUCAAUAAUCAACCAACUACCAAAAAAGUAAAUGGCAGCCGUAAGACCGGCCAUUUGUCAUCAUUGCAAGUAAAACCCCAAAAAAUGAAAAGGUGAAAAUAAAAAUCCAAUUACUAGUGCCCUGAGUGGUCUUGGGGAGGCCAACAUCAUUAACGACGGCUAUGAUGUCAACCCGACUACGAAGACAUGUACCAAUACCUGCUAACUUUACUAAUCUUCUUCUUCGUGGCAUUGUUUCUAUCACGAUAGGGUUUCAAAGAGCAACACACACAAUCACGGCGUCGAAGAGAGUUGCACUGUUCAAGGAAUAGUGUCGACAAAUGAGAAAAAGGGAUUUGUUGAGAGAGACAGUUCGCUUUCCAUCUUCCACCUUUCUAGUACAUCGCUUCCACCAACCUUCCAUCAUCGUCAUAGAGAUAUCAAUCACCGGCGCCGAUCUCUGAUUUGUCAACACUAUUCCUUGAACAGUGUGACUCUCUUCGACGUUGUGAUUGAGUGUGUUUCUCUUUGAAACCAUAUUGUCACGGAGAUAUCAACCACCGGCUCCAAUCUCUUAUUUGUCGACACUAUUCCUUAAACAAUGACUCUCUUCGACGCAGUGAUUGAGUGUGUUGCUCUUUGAAUGCAGUCAAUUAUUCAAAGGUGACAGAUAUAUUCAAGUAUGUCGUUCGGCGAUAGCAUUGUAAUACCAAGCUAAAAACAUAUGCUCUCAUGUUGGAAAAUAUACAAUAAGAGUCACCCUUGAAGAUCCAACAACUAGAAUUCAUACUUUUGUAUAUGAUAAAGAUGGGCAAACUCUUUGUUGGGUUUUUCUAUGUUGGCUACAUUUUGCAAAAACAUCUUUUAGCCAAGUGUUGAGAUAUAUGUGCAUACAUCAAGUGUUGAGACAGAUGUACGAACUCAUUGGAACAACACAUGUGUAGUCUGACUGCUCGCCAGCUAGCGUUAUUGUUUAUCAUUCAAUCGUUCAAAGAUUUGAUUGAAGAAUUAUUUCGUGGUUUCUUAUACAAGGAGCACGUGGUCAAGUAGUUUCUGAAGGCAACCGAACUCUAGUUCUAUUUUCUAAAGGAAUAAAAUAAUUUUAAGAAAAUAUAUUAUUUGAUUCAAAAAUAUGUCUGUUGCUGCUGCAAGGUUUUGAAGACCUAAUUCUGUCUUGGAGCCCAAGCUAUUCCACUACUAUUUAAAGGGUGUUGCUAACCCUGUUUUACACACCGAAACUUGAAUCUAAAAUAGAAUAUCAAAGAUGUAGUCUUUUAGGGUUUCGUGUCUUUGAGCCACUCUCUUGGAGAGUUGGGGUAAAGUGAAUCACUCGGGUUGUGAGAUGGUCAUUAUGUCCUCACUCAGAAACCUGUAGGUAAUGAGUUGAGUAUUGUACUUGGAGAAAGCUUUUAAGCAACUCCAAAUUGUGAACUUAGUCGUUGGCUAAGUAUUUGUCAUGGAAGUUUGUCUUCUAGUUUGUUCAUAAUUGUUCUGUUGAUCCAAUCGCUUUCUGUGAUUGAAGAGGGAGUUGAGGAGCGCCUCAUACCUAGGUGAGUCUUAGGUAGAAAGUAUAGCACGGGUAGUGAUUAAGUGAGGAGUUGUAAACGGGGGAGUUUAGCUCUGAAUUGAUACUAUUUAGUGGACUUUAUACCUGUCUUGGUAUGCCCCCAGAGUAGGCUGUUAUGUUGAACUGGUUAACAAUUCUGAUGUAUUGUUUAUGCUUUUCAGUAUAUGUUUUUAAUGCUCUGCGACAAGUGUCUGAACAUCGUGGACAACACUUGUCUACUGUACAGGAUAUGAUACAAUUAUCCUAUCCAAUUUCUAUCCGUUGUUUGGUGCAAUUAUUGGAAAGGAUAAAUUUAACCUAUUGUUAAUCCUAUCCUAUUGACCCUUUAUUAUUCUUAUCCUUAUUUUAAGCUGGGUUAGCAACAUGAUAGGAUUUACUAAACCUAUCCAAUUUUCGCUGCUCCUCUUUUCGAAUCCCACCUAAAGCAAUUGGAAGAUUUUUUUAUUCUAUUUAUUCACCAUAUUUUUGAUUUGUCCAUACACAUUGCUUCUGACAAUCUGCUAAUCACCAUCUCAAUUAUUAUUACCAUCAUCAUUUACCAUAGAAAAGAAAGAAAAAAAAUCAUCAUCGUUCACCUUUUAUUUUUUAAUAAUCUCAAUUUUAUUUUUGCAUGCCUUAACAAUGUGUUUUUUUAGGCACAGUAUGUGUGAUUUUAGAAAAUUUGCUAAUUGAAUUUUUGUAGCUAUAAAUUUGAUACAAUUUAAAUUUUAACAACAUAAAUUUUAUGUUUUGUAAAAAUAUAAAAUCAUUUCUAUAUAUAUAUAUAUAUAUAUACUUCCUCUGUCCCAAAAUAUAAGCAAAAAUUGGUCAAUGAAAGUUGAUGUAUUUGGUUUAAAAUUUAGUCCAGAUACAUUCACUUUUAUUGACCUCCUUUUGCUUAUNNNNNNNNNNNNNUUUGCUUAUAUUUUGGAACGGAGUAGUGUGUGUGUGUGUGUGUGUGUGUGUGUCUAUAUAUAUAUAUAUAUAUAUAUUCACUUUACAAGAAUAAUUUUAUCAUUUACUAGAAAAUAAUAACUUUAUCAUAUAAAUAUAACAUGUAUCUUAUCAUAUAUAUAUAUAUAUAUAUAUAUAUAUUAAGUGUGCACCAAACACAGGAUAUGAUAAAAUAAUGUUAUCCUAUUUCAUAUCAUAUGUGCAUCAAACACAUGAUAGGAUACAUGUUUAUCAUGUUACUAUCAUAUCCUUAUCCAGCUUCUUAUCAUAUGAUAUUCAUAUCCUAUCAUGCGCACCAAACGGCCCUUGAUGGUUAUCCGGACAUUGCCAAUUUGAAAAGAAAGUUGAACAGAUUACUUGGAGUAAUUGACUAUGAAGGUAUUCUCGUAACGGAUCUCAAGAAAUCUGUCAUGGGUGAGUGUUUGUAUCCAAUCAUAUUAUGCAUCCAAAACUAAUGCACGGGGAAGUAGAAUAUUUGCCUUAUUUGACACUAAAAUAGUGGUUGAGCCUUAAUUUAACCCUAUGUGGUGAUUAUAGAAUAGAAAACCUAACCUUAUAGAGAAGAGAGAGUGAAUGAUAGGAAGAGGAAUAACGACGACAUGUUAGUGAGAUUAGCAAAUGUUGGUAUUUGUAAUGGUCAUUAAGUUAACAUCAUAGUCGUAGUUAAUGAUGUUGGUCUCCCCAAGAUAACUAUGGACAUCGAUUUGUGUUAUACCAUAAGAUUAAUUGGUAUCAUAACCUAUUCCAGGAUCCGUUGGGCCACCUUUUAUCAGUUUCCGCUAUCGGGCCUCCUACCAUAUAUAUUCACACACCAAGCCCAAUAGUGUUGGGUGUGGGGGCAUAUUAAAGAGUCCCACAUCGGUCAAUAGUGUCGGGAUUUAUAAGUAAAGAUAAUCCUCACCUUAAAAGUCGAUUUUGUAAGGUUGAGUUAGACCAACUCUCAAUUUUAAGUUGGUAUCAGAGCCUCCUCCAAAAUUUGUUGGGCCACGUACUAUCAGGUUUCCGCUAUCAGACCUACCCACCAUUUAUAGUCACACGCCCAGCACUAAGUGUUAAGAUCUCACAUCGAAUGUGAGAUGACUUGAACAUGGGUUUAUAAGUAGAGGCAAUCCUCACCUUAUAAGCACCUUAUAAAUCAGGUUUUGUAGGGUUGAGAAGCACAAGUCUCAAUUCUAAGAAAAAAUAAAAUCAUAAAGAGGAACGAUGAAGUCAUUACCUUAAUAGCAGUGAUAAGAACUUUUUCGUUAAUAAGUGCAGUUGUACCCCCAACAUGUUCACUUGACUGCUUUGAAGGAACUUCGGGACAAACAGUACUACUAAGAAAACCAUAUACAGUUGCAGAAACUAGUUCCCAAUAUGCAGUCACUAUGCUAGGGUAAUUGUGGGAUACAGCUUUAAGUGCCUGAAAAAGAUUAAUUUGAACAAAUCAAUAUACUACCAUGACAAUUUCACUUUCUAUUGAAUAAACUAUGGAUAAAUCAUAUCAACCAAUGACUACUAUUUUUUUUUUAAUAAACUAUGGAUAAAACGUAUCAAUAAACCAAUGACUACUACUUUUAGUUAAACUUAACUUACACUUAAAUUUUGCAGUAAGCCAUUAAAUUUCAAAAAACAUUAUCCAUAAAGAAAAGAAACACUUCUAUAAAACAUAUAACGAGUACAAUAUUUUGAUACAAUUAUAUAUAAAUCGGUCUUCACUUUUUAAAUUUGUGAGGGACUAAAAUGGGUCUUCACUUUUUAAAUUUUAUUUUUACAACUAUAUAUAAAUAAAUUUUGAAUUUUCUACUGUAUUUAUUUUAUUAGUUCAAUAUUUUAGAUAUUACAUUAAUGAAAAUAUAUAUGAGGGGUGUUGGGGUCACACCCUUUAACACACUCCUAUCAAUUGGAGCCACGUCAUCUCUCAUAUUUUAACUUCAACUGGUAACCGGUUCUCCAAGUAGAGAGAAAUAACACAGCUUUUUUUUUUAAUUGUUGCUACAUCUCCAUCUCAAGAUCAACCACCACUGUCCGACGAAAUUCCGCGGUGAAGAACGACAACAGAAUCAGAAGAACCCACAAAACAGAGUCUUUGUUGAAACUGAUGAUGAAACAGGAGCAGAUGAACCAACAAAAGUGAUAAAACUCAUGAAUCAGGAACCCAGGUGUGAAGCUAAACCCACGACGAAGAACAACACUGAGAGAAGCAGAAGAAGGCUUCAGACGGAAUUGUUGACGGGGCAGCUGGCGACCGCGGCGGCGAUUUGGGAAUCGAUCCCACAUAGGGAUUGCUACAGUACCAAAUCCCUUUUUCCCAAUUCAUUUUGAACUAAAUAUAGAAAUAGAGAAGUGAAUCUGAACUGGGUUAAAAAGAGACAGAAAGCCGUAGCACCAAUGGCGGAGCAGCGAUUUCCAUUCAAGGAAGAAAACGAGUUACUGUUCAUCGAUGGGUUUUGCCAUCACAUUACUGUUCAUCGAUGGGUUUCCCUUUUUAUUUAUUAAAUUAUUUUACAAUUUAAUUGAGGCUUAGUUAUGCUAUGAUAAAAGGAAUGACAUAUACAUAUAUGGGUACAAGAAUGAGAACAAGAAUGGUGGUGUCAUAUAAAUAGAAAAAUAAAUAAAGUUAGUCUAAGAAUCAGGUGGAACAAGACAUCCAGGUAGAAUAUUCAAUAGAACUUGUAAGAGAGAUGUCUAUGGUGACGGUGGAAAUGAGAAGAAGAUGGAACAGGUUACUAUCCAAAUAAAANNNNNNNNNNNNNNNNNNNNNNNNNNNNNNNNNAUAUAUAUAUAUAUAUAUAUAUAUAUAUAUAUAUAUAUAUAUAUAUAUAUAUAUAUAUAUAUACGCAUCAAUAAAACAUAAGCUUAUAUAUAAUAAUCACUUGUGAAUACACAAAAACAAUUAGGGUCAUGCUAACUAGUGCCCCCGAAGGGACUAGUUAGCAUUUUCCAAAAUGCAAACAAUUAUACACAUAAAUGGGGAUGAUUAAACUAGUGUAAAUGUGUCUAAACUCCAUGAGACAUGGGUUCAAACCAUGAGAUUCUACUUUUUAAUUUGUUUUAAUUGCACUCUUGGUCUCUAAAGUAUCACAAUUGUGCGAUUUUUUGGGUCUUUAAGCCACGUCAAACCCAUGCUAGCANNNNNNNNNNNNNNNNNNNNNNNNNNNNNNNNNNNNNNNNNNNNNNNNNNNNNUUAUGUUAGUAAAUUAACAAAAGACUAACAAAGGGACGUAAUUGUUAGUGGAGGAGAAGUUGAGAGAAUAAAUGGGCGCAAUUGGUACUUGAGAGACUCAAAUCUCACAACCGCAAUACCUAAAGCUAAAAGUACAACUAAGCCAAAAGUAAUAUCACGAAACAAAAAGAUCACAAUGUCAACACUCCAAAGAAAAUGUUUUUUAUUUUGUUUUUGAAACGACCAAUGUUAGUUGCUAGUUUGUUAAAUUAAUAUUUUUUUCUCCUUCACCCGGGGUUGAACCUGAGACCUCCUGCUCCUCUUAACCCUUAGCUCAAACUAGUUGAGCUACCCCACCCCCUCUAAAGAAAAUGUUGUUUAACAGUCUGAAAGAGAUUGUGUUUGGUUUUUACAGCCUCAUUAGCUUAACUCUUAACAGAUUUGUUACUGCCCAUCUAACAGUUUGUAACAGACUCUAACUUAAACUCUGCAACAAUGUUAACACAUGCAGAGACACCUUAACAUAACAGAGACUGCACAUUAUGCACAUUACACUUAGCAACCUAUGCCAAAAAUAUGUUGUGACAAGAUUACCUGAAGGGCUUCAAGGCAAAUGCUUGGGCAACUUCCUUGCGAUGAAUAUUCAAAUAACAAAGAAAGAACACCCGACUUCUUUUCAUUCUCAAGAUAACCUGAAGGAAAACCAACAAUUGCAGACAUGAAGCCAAACCAACAGAUAUCAAAAUCCUAUAUCCAAAAUCAAACCGAUAAGCAUAUCUGUUAUCCUAGUAAGUUGAUGCACCUACCGUUGUUGACUCAUAUAUCCAACAAUAAUACAAAAUUCUAUAAGCAAAGCAUAGGAAAAGAGUAGUAAAGAUACAAGAGAAUAAAAAUGCUAUGUGAUUAGUGUAGGAGAAUACUCCAAUAGGCAUUCUCUUAUAGUUAGCAAUUUUUCUAAUAUAGUAUAGUAAUGAUCAAAAUAUUGAUUAUGUCCAGGCCUAGAGGUGACUAGCUUUCAGAAUUUGAAGGAUAUACCACUCGAUAUGCCUAAUCAAACAUCUUCAAAUUCCUUGUUUAUGAAUGAAAUCUCAAAGGGAACACUGGAGAUUUCAAGAAUACGCCAAGCAAUAUACCUAAUCUAAGUCUCUAAGGUGACACCUAGGAUUCAUUGCGAUGCAAAACUUUAUGCACCAUUGCUUAUAAUUAGAUCAAACACUAUUACCAUAGGUAUUCAUCCAAGCCUAAUAAUAGUAAGACUAAUAUACCAACAUCCUGCAAAUUAUACAAACCCAUCAUGACCUCAUUUAUCCAAAUCCCCACAAUCUCGUUACACACACACCUGAAACCUUACUUCCCAAUCACCUGUCUGUCUUUUUCAUCAUUAGUACAACAUAAAUCCAAUUAAACAAUAAUAUGCAAAAAAAUAUCAUUUUCUAUGCAUUCACUAUUAAUCAGGAGAUCUAUCUCGAUCAAAAUAACUGAAACAUUCAACUGAAAUACACACAAGAAUUAUGAGAACAUAAAAUAAGAAUGAAAGAAUCUUCAUAAGAAAUAAGAAAUAUUCACAUCUAAAGCAAUUUUUUAUCUCAGAUUUUAGACUAUUUUUUUAGUUUAAAUGAUAACUGAUACAAUCACUUUUAACAUCAAGAGUACUAUAUAAAAGAUACCUGAGGAAACCUCAUCAUAGAGCAUCUUCCUUACUUGAGCAGAGGAUGGUGAGGUAGACAGAGCUAAUGUCAAACAACCAACUGCAGCAUCCUGCCAACAGGGAUCAUGUUAGACAUCUAUAAUACUACCCCAGAAAUCUGGGGCCAGAAGAACAAUACUUUGGACAAUCAUACAACUAACCAGCAGAUUAUUCUGGUCAUUUUUGUACCGAAACCCUUCUUUAAUCCUUGUUCUAAGAGAAGUAAUAACAGUAGGCAACAAAUUUGGUGGCAUUCUCGAAUAUCUGGCAAACACAAUUAUUUCAGUUCAGAUACUAAUUAAUUAUCAACAAGUAAAUAUUUUGCACAUAUUAAGCAUAACCAGCAUCAAGAUAUUCUGGUUAAGUUCUGCGGCUUAAGAUUAUGUGAGUACUACUUUGUGUCAGAUUUACAUUAAUCAAGUAACUGUGUCAUAUCAAAGGGGAAAACUUUUCUCACUCUUUUUCCUGCUACUAAUAUCCUACACAUAACUUACUUUUUAUAAUUUCAUUCUAAACUUCCCUCACAAUGCAUAGCUUAAUUAUAUUUUUGGACUACUUAUUUGCAAUUCCCAAAUUUUCAUCUCCAGGUUUCAUUUUCAAUUGUUUCAACAUUCAGUUAGGUGGCAACAACAUUGAGCAUUGAGAAAACCGUUAGGUGGCGCUGUUCAAUAGAUAAGUUGCUGAGUUGGCAAAACUGUUGAUUAUAGGGGUUCCCAACUUCCCAUUAAUGUCAUAUAAAUUAAACACUAAUACCAUCCUAUCCACCUUAUACGGAAAUUUAAAUGACACCGAAGAAUAUCACCGACUCUGAGAGAAUAGUAUUUUUAGUCUUGGCAUUUUCUAUCUGUGUUUGUACUUGAGCCUUUCAGUUUUUCUGUUACGCUAACUGGCACUGACAGUAUGAGCAGGUGCUAGCUGGCAGAGGUAGUUAGAUCAGGGUGUAGGUUAAGCCUAGUCAGGUGUAGGAUAACCUCACCUAUAUAUGUUGUAAUCUGAGUUUUCCUCAGUGUGCAAAAUCUUUUCUAUAGAAUAAAAAGUUUUGCAUCAAUAUAUCCUCUCGUUCUAGUUUUUCAAUAGACCCCAACAGUAAUAGAACUAGAGCAUUAUGAGCUGAAAAAAAAAUGACGUUGCUGGAAGCAAAGAGACAUACGGUGUAUGUAAUACCAAAAGCCUGAUAAUUUUGAGCAACAAUGCGAGCAAUUUGCCAUGAGCUUCAUGCUGUAUCAAGUAAAGAAUACCUGCAAUAGAGAAAAAAAAUAACUGAAAAUCAAGUAAACUACGGAAAAUGAAGAGUCAAUAAAUUUUUAAGGAAAACAAUAGUAUAAUAAAAAAUUGUUAGUAACUACAUAAUUCAAUUAGAUACUGCAGAUGUUUCAGCUACCUCUAUGAAUUUCCAGUAAAAUUUGCCCAAGAGAGCUUGAAAGUGCAGUGAAAGAUCCAACUUUGCUAGAUUCUUUGUAUUCUGCUACUUGCAGGAAACUGGAAGAAGGACCAUCCAACAUGGCCACUAGAGUUGAUGCAGAUGCCAUACGGGCCUAUAGAUAGCAUAAACAACCUUUUCUUAGAUGGGAAUAUGAUAGACCCAUUACAAAUGGUUAUUAUAGAAAGAAAACAAAUAUGACCCAUUACAAAUAGAUGUGAGAUUUGGAUUUUGGCCAUAAUGGGAAAGUGCUAAAUGUGGAGAAAAUGACAAAGGAGUAAUUGCUACUACCUCCGUCACUAAAUAUAAGACCCUCUUUACAUUUUUCUUUGUCCCUUUUAUAAGACCCCUUUCAUAUUUUCAAGGGCAUUAAUUAUUUCUUUACCAACAUACCCCUAAUUAAAUUGCAUAUUUUUGUACAAUCUGUAAUAAAUACUUUAGAAAAAUAAUAACUCAUUCUCUUUCUUGAAGGAUAAAAUUGUAAAAACAAUACCAAUUGUCAACAAAUUUAAUGUCACAAUCCACUUUCUUAAUCUCCGCAAUUUCUCAAUGGGGUUUUAUAAUUAGGGACGGAGGUAGUAUUAUAUAACAAUUUAAUAUUAUUAUGUAUCAUUAUAUACAAUAUUUGUUUAACAUGAGAAAGGAUCAAAAUAUUUCAGGAGUAUUGAAUAUUAUAUACGUUAAUAUUGUAAAUAUAUGUAGUACAGUGUAUUAAAUAUUAUAAAGGGUAUCUAAGCAAAUUUUAUAUUGUUUUACUCGUGUUGUACAUUAUCCACCAAACAGAAUACAAGACAGGGUUGUGUUGUGACUUAAGCAUUUGUCUUGUAUUGUUCUCUUUUUCUUGUACCUCAAUGAGAAUCAAACACACCCUAAGCAUCAGAAAUGCGCCGAGCAUCAUGAUUUUCAACAUUGAAGAACUUCAAUGGAAUUAUUAGAUUUACAAGAUAGUGAUGACACAGUUCAUUUGUUGUCACGAUAGCAAGAGUUCUUAUUGUCAAGCUUAUCUAUAAUUUAAUGAGAGACGGUGACAGCUGACAGGUAUAUUCUAAUAAUAAAAAUAAAAAAGAUGCAACAACUAACUUUCAAAAUAGAAACUGUGUUGGGAAAACAAUAAUACUCGAGGUGAAAUAUACAAAAAUGUGAGACAGCUCCGCAUAAUAAAUAUCAACAGAAGUCAUUACCUUCAAACAGGGAUCAAAUAGCAGGCAAGACAUUAAAGUUGCAUCCCGCAUCCUAUGAAUAUGCAAAUAAAACAAUUAUAUGGUCAGAAAACAACAAAACAAAGUCAAAUGGCACGACAAACAUGAUAGUAGAAGUUUGAAUUCAUAAAAGCUAUAACAAUGUUCAGGCCAUACCUUGGUUGUAGUGCGUCACUGGUUGGCAAAAGCAAGGACCAUUGCAUCGAGAAAGAUUUAGAAUCAGCUUGACAAAGAUCCUUCACACCAAGCAUAAUUACAAUAGUAAGUAGUAAAUAAAUAAAAACCAGAACUAACAAAGCUGUUCCCAUCCACAAUGGUAAUCAAGGGGAAAUUUUGAUGAGGACCUUUGUCAUGGUCAUCAAAGGGGGAACUUAAAUUAAUAAAAUAAGGAAAAUGCUAACAAAGCACUUGGUAAGGAAUCAUAUAUAGUAAUAUCGUCUUGGAAGUUGUGUGGUGUAUUUUUUAAAAGUCUAAAAUCACUCUUUUCAAUUUGUCAAAAAAAAAAAUCACUCUUUUCAAAUAAUUGAAGAAUAUCUAUCCUAUCUUUAUAAAUCUCGAGACGGGAAAGAGUUGCAGAAAAUAUGCAAGUUUGAAAUUGGUUUUCUUACCUAAUAAAGUAAAAAAAAAUAAAAAAUUAUGGAAUUUUUUAUAUAUAUUAACAGAAACAAUAAUAAUACUCUCUCCAUAAUAUGAGUUUACAGGUUCAAUAAGAAGGAACACAAGAUUAUAAUGUUAAGAGCGCUAUUGAGCUAGAAUUGAACUAUUAACAUUAAAUUUGACUUGAAUUAGGUAAGAUUAUUCACACAAGUGUUUUAUCGCAUCAUGGCUAAUACAGUAAGACUCGUUAUUUUAGUGACAUAAUAUGUUCACAUUCACCAAAUACGUACUAGAAGUCUAGAACGUCCAGCUAUAUUGGUAGCUGUGAAGUGUAUGGUUACUCGCUUACUCGGAGUGAAUUGAACAUUAUUAAUAAUAGUAUGCUUUGUGCAGGUUAUAUCGUCCAACUUCUAGUCCCUCUUGGGGCGGCGUCACGCUGCUCAUUACUUAUUUGCAAUAUUUUUAGUUCAGUUCUAGAAUCUUUUCUUUCAGCUACUUUCAGCUAUUUAGUUAGAAAUUCAUCCUGUCAAUUGUAACUAAUCUCUGUAUCUACUUGCUGCUUUUUCCUCUGCUAUAAAAAAACCAGUGGUAACAGCAGAGAUUUGCAGAACAUAAAUACUCUUCAUUUUUAAAUAUAAAUUUUAGGCAAAUCUAACAGUAACUUCAAUAUUAGGAUUCAUGUUUUUCAUGAAAGUACAUCAGAAGGGUGAGAGAACAGCAAAUUUGGAAUUUACCUGUAUGCAAAUUAUAGCAGCAACUCUAACCCUAGAGUUCUGCCCUCUAGCACUCUCUUUAGCUGAUCCAUCUCCAUCACUAAAAUCUGAAUCUGAAGAUGUAACAUUGAUAGUAGAAGAUUCACUAUCAGAGAUAUAUUGAGAAUUCGUAGCUCUAUUGGGAUUCAUAUUUGAGCAGUCCCUUUUGCGCAAGUGUGGAGGCCUAUAUACACUAUGAUCUGACUUGUUCAGUUGCUCCCUAUGAGCCUUAGGACUUACAUUAUUAAGAUCCUUCUUGGAAUGCCCAACAAGCAAAGUAAUUGGGGUUCUACCAGAAAGUCCAUAAUUUAAGAACAUUCGCAACACAGCAACAAAAACUGAGACCUUGAAAAAAGAUCCAAGUGUCAAAAUGGUUUGGGGUAAAAGUAAAAGAUAUUUAUUUGCUCAUUGCAUUACAGUAAAAAUGACUUCCUUACAUGAUCAGAUACUGAACAUUUAGGAUCAGUAAGAAUCAGAUGCAAACAGCUCAGGAAAGAUUCAUAAAACCUGCAGGAAAGCAUGAAUCUCAAUUCUCAAUGAGUUUUAUCAUUGGCUUCUACUAAGAUCUUCUAACAAACAGGUUACCUGGACAUUGCAUUAUCUUCCACAACUGGGGUUUUUAAUGCCAUGACAUCCAUUGUUUUUCUGACUACCUAAUUCAGAAGAAACCAGUUAAAAUAUUUUGCUGGAAUUAGUUUACAAAUUUUAUAAGGAAAUAAAAGGAACAAGUACUAUAUACCUCAAGCAUUGAUCUCCAGAUAUCAACGGGGAAGGAUGACCCAGCUCUUGAGAUUGCUUCGCUGAGCAUCUCAAAAGCUAUUGUCUGUAGCUCACUUGAACUGCUUUCUGUGGAAAAACUCAUAUUAACCACAGCUGGUCUUUCUUUGUAUACUGAAUGAGGCAUCAAAAAUGACACACCUUGAAAGCUAACAAUAACAUCAACUAGAAAUUUAACUAAUAUAGUAUCUUCAGACUGCAACCAUCUUCGAUGCGAUUGAGUAAUGAUACAUCUGGACAGGGAGCAGAUUUUGUAUAGGGUAAAUUUAGAGUACAAACAAAAGGUUGAAAGGCAUUAACAGGAAAAAAAAAAUAGUAGUAGGUUAACACCAGAGUUUAAUUGGUAUGCCCUGUGUAAAAAAGUUUUACACAUGAAUCUAAUCACUUCUCACCACAUAAAUACUUGAGGGGGGUAUUUUAGGAACUAGUAUAUUAUUUGAUAAAUUAUCAGUAUUUGAGUUGUUAUUGCAUGGGUUCGCUGAUAUAAAUAACUGAAACUUGUAGUGCCUUUUGGCCUUAGCCUAUGUUUGGUUCAGCUUUUAUAUUCCCUAGACGUGCACUUUUACCAUCUAACGUGAUUUUUUUGUGUUCCAAAGAUGUUUGGGUUUUUCUUAAUAAAUCAAUUUCAUGGUUCAAACUUAUUCUACAAGAAGCAGGAAAUCCUAGCUUAUGCGUCUAUGGAAAUCAAUUCUACCCAUGUAGUUGUACAGUACAUGUUCUUCGACUACCCUUUAUUACUUUUUUGUCCUCGUAGCAUUCUUUUUUUCUCAAUCUUGUUGACCAUUUAAAUACAAAUAAAACCCCUUUUGGUAAUUUAAUGUCUAAAAGCAAUUUUCAUCUAAACCAUCCAAACAACUUGAAUUGUUAAGAAUCAAUUUUACGUGUAGGUAUCCAAACAUAAAUCAAUUUAUAUCUAACUCACUUUUAACUAAAAUCAAUUCUCUCAAACUCAAUUCUAUCAAAAUCAAUUAUUAUCACUGCAUAACCAAACACAUACUUAGUCAGUUUGUUAGAAAAGUUGUACUGUGGGUUCAAACUCUGCUUUGUAGGCUCAAGGUGCACUUUCUUCCUACUGUUAUUUACUGUGACAACCAGAGCACCGUUGUCAUGGCUCACACCCGGUUCUUCGCACUCAAACUAAGCACAUGGAGAUUAAAAAGGUUCUGGCCAAGCAGUUGUCUGUAGUCACAUUCUUGUGGUGGGGCUUGUGAGUAUUUGAGUUGUUAUCUAUAAAUGCAGCUAGCAUUAGUGCAUUUUAGCCUUAGUCAGUUUGUUAGAAAAGUGCCACGUCAGCUCUGGCAGUUGUACUGCCUAAGAGCUUGAUAGCCUGAGGUGCAAUUUUGUUAGCUUUGGGUACUGGUUUAUCCCCAGCCAAGUGUAGGACAAGCCUCCUAUAGAUUCUGCAAUAUGCCGUGAAAUUCCCAAUUUAUGAAAUUCCCAAUUUACUUUCUCUAUGUUUUCCAAUUAACAAUCAGUUUAAAAAACCUAAAGAAAAAAUAAAACCAUCCAAAAGGUCUAAAGUUUUUUUCUUUCGGUUUCACCCAAGGUACCUUGCACCCUCCAGGUGUUGGGAUACUCCCACUCAAACAACCUAUGGCUAAAACAUUACCGAAGCAUAACAACCCAACUUACGAAUAAAGUCCUCCCACUUUCCAUAAUAUAUAAAAAGAUAUUAUUUUAAGUCCGUAAUUUAAAUCUCAAAUGUACUAAUAAAGAGCUUGCGGAAACAAAACAAUAAAGUGCUCUGUCUCUUGUGAUUCUCAAAUAAAAGCAUUACUAACCCCCCCAAACAAAAGACAUAGGUAAAAUUAAAGCUAGUUUCAAUUCAUUUCAGGAGCGUGAAAUUACCUAAUAGCAUGCAAGAAUUCAACAGCAGAAACUAUUGCUGUGGUUCUCCAAAUUCCAGUUAACUCAUUACCGGUUGCAUUUUUUCCGAGAAACCGAACCAGCAUCUUCCGAAAACAACCGAGAACACUACUAAAAGAUGAGCUAUUUAUCUCAAACUUAACAUGCCGACAUAUAUCAUGGAUCUGCAAUAAGCCACAUCAAUUAGUAAAAUAAUUACUAAAAACAAUUCAAUCCUAAUUCAAAAACACAUUAAAUCAUAAAAUUGAAAGCAGAAAUGAUACCAAACGUGAUGUCUGAGUAUAUAUAUGAAUACACUCAUCUUGAUCUGAAGAAGUAGAUGCAACCAAUUCCAUCAUAAACAAAAUGUCCGAUAAAACCUUCAAAUCAAACAAAAAAUCAGCGAAAAAUUUCAAAAACCGAAAAAGCUAAAUAAUAAUCGAAAGCGUUAUUAAUACCUCGUGAGAAGGAAGUUCCGGUGCGGCACAUAACAAAGUAUGAGAAUGAGAGAAAAUGAGAUUGUUGAGCAAUUGAGGUGUGGAAGUGCGAGGAAGAUUCGUUAGGGUUUCAUCUCUCAGCGUCAAGAAGGAGGUUCUCCACGAUCUAACCAGUGGCGUCGGUGCGAUUGCGCCACCGAAACCCGUUGCCGCCAUCAAAUCGCUAAAAACGGAGAUUUCUAGUUUCUAUGGUGCAUCAGUUGUGCCUUCCAUGGAAUGAAGAAAUCAAUUCUGUUUGUGAGCUUUUGCACUGUGAAGAGGAUGAAUCACAAACUCCAUUUCAGUCCCAAUAUCAUGAAUUUUUAAAUAAAUAAAUAAAUUCCAUGGAAAUUAAGAGAACUGUUAUAUACACCCCUACUCAUCACUUUAGUUACACCAACGGCAUCUGAAACAUUUUUUUUCUUUUGAAACGGACCAAAAACUAGAAGUGGGCAAAGUUUGCUUAAAAACCAAAACUGCAUAAAAACCGAACAGAACUGUUUUUACAGUUCAUAAAAAUCGAACCGAAUCGCAAUUAUGUAACAUGAACCGAACCGAACGGUUUGGUUAACCGGUUAACCGGUUUUAUAUUAAAAAAAUCGAAUCGUUUUUAACUCAACUGGUUUUAAUUGGACCGAACUGCACAAUUCUAAUUUUGCAUUGAACUGGACCGAAUCGUUUUCAAUUUAACUGGUUUAAUUGGUUUUUCUUUAAUAACUCAAUGUAACACAUACAUAGUUAAAAACACAAAAAAAACUAAUGUAAAUCCAUACAUAUAAAACCCUCUACAUAUAAUAAACCAAGGUAAAUCCAUACAGAUUAACCUGCCACCAUAUUUUCUUUUUGCAAAUUAAAAACUAAACUCCAAUUUCAUCCACAAAAUACUAUAAUCAUAUCUUUCUCUUUUUGACAGUAACUACUAAAACCAUAUCUAUUACAAAUGAUUUCAAUCAUCAUCAAGAUCAAUAAGGCUUGCAGAAGUUGUCGCACCGUUCGUUCGAGAGAUCAUAUCUGCAAACAAGAAAUAAACUUCAUUAUUUCUUCACCAUUGGAAAGAAAUGCUAAAUUAGAAUAUUAACCAGACCCACAUUGUUAAACACUUAUUAACUUCAUGUUAUGUUCAAAAUACAUUAUAACGUAUAUUAUAUCUAUCAAAAUGAAUGAAGUAAAACUAAAACUAAUAAUUAAGAGUUAUCCUAAUGACUAAAGAUGACUAAUAAUAAUAAUAAGGAUUUAACAAACAUGUUAAGUCAAUGUAAGUUCACUCUGUUACUGCAAUUUAAAAAGAACUGCAAAAUGGUGUAUUCUUUUUGAAUAUCACAGUAAAACUAGUUUGGAAAUAAGUAUGGAAGAAAAUUUGAGUUUCAUAAUCAUACUUUAUUUUAGUCACACAAACCAAAGAUCAAAGAAAAGAUCAUAGUCAAAUAAGUUUGGAAAAUUUGAGUUUUUUACUUUGCUCAAAUGUUUCUAACUCUUCAAGGUCCUCGUCAAAUAAGUUUGUGAAAGGAGAUCCUCUCAACCAAUCCUGAGUGCAAACCAGCACUUCCACUAUCUUACGUGUGAGAUUACUACGAUGAGGAUCCAAUACCAUUCCUCCGGCACUAAAAGCAGACUCUGAUGCUACAGUAGACACUGGAAUGGCCAACACCUCGCGAGCAAUACUUGCCAGGACGGGAUAUCUUGAUGAGUUGACUUUCCACCAAUUUAGAAUGUCAAACUCAACAAACUUGCUAUGAGGUUCAGAGUCUUCAGUGAGGUAUUUAUCACACUACAAGAAAAACCUUUUUUUUCGUGGAAUUAUUCCCUCACUAUGUGCAUUAUUCCCUCACUAACUGAGAAUUUAGUGGCGGAACAGGUCUGCCACUAAAACGCAAGUCACUAAAUUUUGUGGCGNNNNNNNNNNNNNNNNNNNNNNNNNNNNAUAGUGGCAAUUUCCUUAAAUUUAGUGGCCGAAUAAUCCGCCAGUAAGUGGGUGUCAGUAAAGUAGAUUUUGUGGCGAAAAUGUCUGCCACAAAGUCUGCUAGUUGCUUUUUAAUAUUUUGUGGCAGAAUAAUCCGCCAGUACACUAUCACGGUUGAAAAAAUAAAAUAUAUGUCGUGGCUGAAUAUUCCACCACUAAAUGAGUGGUUUUUAUUUUUAUUUUUACAGAAAAUGAGUGGUUAAUAAUUACAUUUUGUUUCUUUAUAAUAAUUAUAUUUUUUUAUCUCAAUUUUUAUAAAUAUAUUAAUUAAAAACAAAAAAUUAAAUUCAACAUAAAAAUAAUUAAGAAAUAUUACCACAUCAAAUAUAAAUUAGAUCCGACAAAAUAUAAAAUUAAUAUCUAAUUUGUGUCACUACUCAAAACCAAAGUAUGUUACAUAGUAGGUUACAUAGCAGGAACCAAGAAGUCAGGAACUAGUACCAAACACUAUAGUUCUCCAAUUCAACAUAAAACUACACCAACCUAUAGGAAAUACUAAGCUAAUGCUACCAAGAUCCAAGCACCAAAGUUACAGGUUAGAAAAUGCAAUACUCAAAACAAUAAGAGCUAGUGUACAUAUAUCAGACCAAGCUAGUGACAGCAUGUGACCUUUCAAAUUGAAGCACUCCCAAAUUGAAGCACCAAGCCAACUUCACCCAAUAAUAAAGCUAAAAAUCAUCUUUGCAGUAUUGCUAGUGACACUCCCAAAUUGAAGCACCAAGUCAACUCCACCCAAUAAUUCAGCACAGGGCUAUAAUAACAACAAAAUGAUAACCUUAAUCUAAGAUUUAACAGCACCACUUAUGCUACACAGGGGCGUCUCUGGGUUUUAGGAGACCCUAUGCAAAAUAUAAAAGUGGCCCUAAAUAUAAAUUUUUUUUUUUUUUUAAAUUGUCGAUUUAAAUUGCGUAUAUUAUAAAAAAAAUCAUUUUUAUUCUUGUAAACAUAUAGAUUAUCAAUAUUAAACCAAUUGCAUCAAAUCAAAUGAGAUAAGAAAUACAAAAUAAUUAUCUUUGUAUAUAAUGUCAAAAAAGAACCUCCUAAUCUAAGUUUAAAUUUUAUGGAAAGAAUAAAUAGAUUAAAACUAUAUUUACGAGCAUAGAUAACUAAUUUAUUGAUACUCAUAUGAUAUUAUAUGAACAUUAACAAUAUAUAACUAUUAGUUUAGGGCCUAAAAAUUAAUCUGUUAAUAUACAUCUGAUAUUUUAUAGGUAUAAAUAAUAUAUAAGUAAUAUUAUAGGACCUCAAAAUUUUGAGCCGAGGUCCUCAAAAUUUUGAGGCCCGAUGCCGUCGCACACCUUGCACACCUGACAAUUUAUUAAAUCAAAUGGGAAAAGUCUUAAAUUUACAAGGCACUACUCACCAAAUGUAGACCUUAUUCAUUAUGAUGUCANNNNNNNNNNNNNNNNNNNNNNNNNNNNNNNNNNNNNNNNNNNNNNNNNNNNNNNNNNNNNNNNNNNNNNNNNNNNNNNNNNNNGUCGGACUCUUGAAGUGAUGAUGAAUUGCUUUGAAAUGACAUAGGCUGAAAUCGCGAGGUCUCCUGAACUGAUGAGUGGCGAGAUGGCAUCUGGGGCACGUAUCGUUGGUGUUGAUGAUGAGGAUUCGAGCUGGUAUAUGUUGAUUGGCGAGCAGACAUAUUUUGGGAGUUUUGUUGUUGUGGUUGGCGUUGAUAUUGUUGCCCCUGAAUAUCGCGUUGUGAAAGUGUCCUUUGGAUAAUUAAAUCCAUGUCAUCCAUUGUUUCAGCUCUGUCGCGGUGAUUUUUGGAUAUCGAGCUAUUAACUAACUUCGAAUCGCAAUUUGAUAUUCCACCACCGAUCUUUAAUUUUAUCCGAAGGAAAGGGAAAAAGUUCNNNNNNNNNNNNAGAGAACAAGGUUCGGGGGUUAGUUAUACGAAGGGAAGGUAUUAGCACCCUAAGUAUCUAUAGUACUCUAUAGGAACCUCUUGUUUUUAUUCUAUCUACGCGCUUUAUUUUAAUUGCUUUUGAAAAAUGUACAAGAAUUAAAGUGAUGUUAGAAAAUGUUUAAAGAAUGAAAAAGAAGAAAAAUGUUUUUGAUUUUAUUUGAUUGGAGAGACAAGUCUCAUGCCUACGUACCCGAGGGAUCAAACCACCGUAGUUCGGGGUAAAAGUCGAUUUGUUUGUCGGUUUGUUUUUAUGGUUUUUGAAAAAGGUUUUAAAGAUGAAAAAGCCAAAGUGGCACAAAAUGUGAGGUUGGUUGAUUUUAAUUUUGUGAAGGAAAGUCUAAACGCUUAUCAUUGAUUGAAAUUUGAUUGAAAAAAAUGACGGAUGCGCUUGGUUGAAAACCAAGGUUUAUUUGAGAAAAAAAGUUUUAGGUGUUAACAAAAAGACACUUGGGUUAAAGUCCAAGGUUUGCUCGAAAAGGAGUUUAAGCGGAGGAAAAGAUACUUGGUUUAAAGUCCAAGAUAAAAAGAUAUUUGGUUUAAAAUCAAAACAAAAGAGAAGCCACUUGGUUUAAAAUCCAAGACUUCUUGGUACUUGAAAAAAGAAAAUAUUUGGUUUAAAAUCCAAAUAUGAGAAGCCACUUGGUUUAAAAUCCAAGAGCUUCUUGUGAAAAUGAUUUGAAUGAUAAAAGUCUCUUGGUUUGAAGUCCAAGGUUUAUUGUAAAAAUGAUUUGAAUGAUAAAAGUCUCUUGGUUUGAAGUCCAAGGUUUUUAGGAAAAGAGUGUGAUGAAACCACUUGGUUUAAAAUCCAAGAGUUUAAAAAAAGAAGUUUGAUUGAUUGAGUUUGAUUUAGAAAAAAAGAGGCGCGAACACUUGGUUUGAAGUCCAAGGUUUAUUGUGAAAAGGUUUAGGUGAUAAAAAGUCUCUUGGUUUGAAGUCCAAGGUUUUUCUGAGAAAAGAUUUAAGUGAUAAAAAGUCUCUUGGUUUGAAGUCCAAGGUUUUUUAAGAAAAGAGUGUAAUGAAAUCACUUGGUUUAAAAUCCAAGAGUUUGAAAAAAAAAAGAAGUUUUGAUUGAUUGAAUUUGAAAAAUGCAACUUUGGUUUAAAAUCCAAGUGCUUUUGUAUUGAAAAUAUUUUUGUUUUGUGCUUUGUUUUUGGAAAAGGGUUUUGAAAGAGUAGAUGAUUUUUUGAGAUUUUUGAUGUUUUGGAAAAAAAUGUUUUCUUUGAUUUGAUUUUUUUUUGAAGAGGUUUUGACCUCAAUUUUGAAAGAGCAAAAAGUUUUGCGCGUUGAAAAAGAGGUUUUGACCUCAAAAUUUAAAAAACGCGAUCAAUUAAUUUUAUUUGAGAAAAAGAGUAGAAGAUUUCUUUUUGAAAAGAUUUUGAUUUUUUUGAAUGUUUUUGAGUUUUUUUGCAAUAAACUAAACUAAACGCGAGGGAUUGAAGCGACGUUGGAUCGCAAGCACGGCAUAAAGCGUAAUAAAUAAAAUGCAUGCAAUGCAAUUACAUUAUAAAUCCUAAUUACAUUCUAAACUUCAAUAAAUAAAUAUGAAUGAAUGCAACCAUACAUAUGCAAUGCAAAUUUUAUUUAUAAUUACAAAUUUCCUAAUCACAAUCUAACAGGAGUGUAAAUAGCAGGAAUGGGGUGCAAAGAAUGAACAGAAUACUAAGGCCCAGUCCAGAAUAGGCCUCUUUACCAAACAAAAAAACAAGAGAAAAAACGCAGGAUCAAUCACGACCGUCUGAUGGAUCAGACGGCUCUGAUCUAAAAGUAAAAAGACAAGAUCUAAGCCAUGUGAUUGAAAUCAAAGGCUGAGAAGAGAAGGUGUAUGGUGUGCUGCAAUNNNNNNNNNNNNNNNNNNNNNNNNNNNNNNNNNNNNNNCCGUGAGCCACCGCGUCGGAGCGAUUCCGGCGGCGGCUCUGGCGGCCUAACCCCUCUAAAAUCACCAAAAAAAAAAACCCACAGCUUCGUCUUAACGUUCCUAACCCAAAUAUCAAACUAGAAAAACCUAAAUCAAAGCUAAUAAUUGUAGAUCGGGAAAAAGAGAAAAAAAAGGAUUCGGUGAAGAGAUUUCAACCUUUGAUGAUCUGUUCUGGGUUUGUUCUUCCUUCCUCUUCUUUCUUCUCUCCCUCGUUCUCGUUCGAUUCCGACUCGGUUUCAUUGAGAUUGUGUUCGUCUGGUUUGAGUUCGUCCGAUUUGGUUUGUUUUGGAUGAAAUUUUGAGUUCUGUUGUUAUGGUUUAUGGUUAUGGUGAUGUUGUUGAUAUUGUGAUGAUAUGGUUAUGGUUGAUGAGAACAGAUUGUGUUGAUGAUGAUAUUAUUCUGUAUAUUUUUUGAUUUUUUUUUUGUAUUUCUUUUGCUUUGAUUCUGGAAAAAAAAAUUGUUGUUGUUGGUGCGGCGCUGACGAUUCCCUCCUCUAGGGAACAGUGUAAUAAAUGCAGUAUUUGUACUGUGUCAGGGAUUAGGGUUUGCUGAUGAAAUUUUCCCAUUUGGACAAAAAUGCCCCU
rnacentral:lncRNA from 1 species